rnacentral:rRNA from 1 species
UACGGAGGGAGCUAGCGUUAUUCGGAAUUACUGGGCGUAAAGCGUACGUAGGCGGCUUUGCAAGUUAGAGGUGAAAGCCUGGAGCUCAACUCCAGAACUGCCUUUAAAACUGCAUCGCUUGAAUCCAGGAGAGGUGAGUGGAAUUCCGAGUGUAGAGGUGAAAUUCGUAGAUAUUGGGAAGAACACCGGUGGCGAAGGCGGCUCACUGGCUCGUAACUGACGCUCAUGCACGACAGCGUGGGGAUCAAACAGG